CCGCGGUAAUUCCAGCUCCAAUAGCGUAUAUUAAAGUUGUUGACAGUUAAAAAGCUCGUAGUUGAAUUUCGAGAUCAAAUUGUUGGUCGUGCCUUGGUACGCACUGGCAUUAUUGGUUUCUCCCUUCUGAAGAGCCAUGAUGUCAUUAAUUUGGUGUCAUGGGGAAUCAGGACUGUACUUUGAAAAAUUAGAGUGUUUAAAGCAGGCUCGCGCUUGAAUACAUUAGCAUGGAAUAAUGAAAUAGGACGUUUGAUUCUAUUUUGUUGGGUUUCUAGGAUCGACGUAAUGAUUAAUAGGGAUAGUUGGGGGCAUUAGUAUUCAAUUGUCAGAGGUGAAAUUCUUGGAUUUAUUGAAGACUAAACUACUGCGAAAGCAUUUGCCAAGGAUGUUUUCAUUAAUCAAGAACGAAAGUUAGGGGGAUCGAAGACGAUCAGAUACCGUCGUAGUCUUAACCAUAAACUAUGCCGACUAGGGAUCGGAUGAUGUUAAUUUUUUAAUGACUCAUUCGGCGCCUUACG
rnacentral:rRNA from 1 species